rnacentral:ncRNA from 1 species
AUGAAAAUGUUGAAGGAUUGAGUAUGUUGUAGACCAUCUGUAACGCAUUUGCGUAGAAGAGAGGAGCUUCCCUGGCUGAAAGAAGCUCUAGAUGAAGGACGACAGAAAGCUAAUCUGGAGUGCAGCUAACCACUGCCGUAUUCCUGCGUUAAGGGAUUAUUGAGAGAUGGAUACGUGUUUUGUAUCCGUAAUCAGGGUGGUACCGCGAGACAAGCUCUCGUCCCUGUU